CCUGCUACUAGGAAUUCCUACUAGCAUAUACAUCAGUAAUCUUCAUUUCAAAAUAAUUAUUUUCAAUAUGAUGCCUUAAUAUACUUUUCUUUGCUCAGUAUAUUUUUAUUUCUGGAGCUCUUCAAAACUAAGAGAACAAGCAUCAGACUGCAAAGACAAAGUACAUCAAAUACACAAACUGAUUUUGAAUCCUGAUUCAGGAACUUAUGUUGGAAAAUCUGAGAUCAGAAGCUGAUUUCAGGGACUGUCUCCACAGGAGGAAGGAAAGUUUCACUGCCGUAUCUGCUCCUCCUCCUCUCCUUAGGAAAUGUAAAUUCCAAUGGCUGCAUUUGGUUAUGCGCAGCAUGACUGAAGUCACAUGUUCAUAUCAUGAAGACUUCGAAAAUGUCAUGUAGUAAUGGCAGACACAGAAGUGGUGUCAGUCAUGAAAAUAAGCUCCAUCUAGUCCCUCUGAUCCCUGAAACUGGACAGAAUCAUCAGACGACAGAUGCGAGAGCCGUGGUGACAGCCAGCAAAUGCUAGCAUAGCCUCGCUAGUCCCACCUCCUGUUACCAGAAGUGGUCAGCGUUAGGUACUUUGGAGAAAGAUGCAAUGAAUCCUGCAGAAGGCACAUACAGGAUAAACAAAAUGAAAAUCUUAUCCUAAAUUCUAAAAAUUAAAAAUUAGCCUAAACUCUGAAGACUGAAAUUCUGUAUCCCUUUCAUACUUUUUAACAUUGUAACACUGAUAUUUUAACCUAUACAACCCUACAAUUUUUCCUUGUUCUCAGAGCUGUUUACUUCCACUAUAUGAAGUAAAAAAUGUUAGUCGUCUUAUGCAUUCUGUGAAAACUAUUUCCUUUUAUCAAGUUUUAGUUUUUUCUAUUAUUACCAUUCUUCUAUUCCUUUUUUAUGUGACAAGAAGAAACUCCCGAUGUAUUUCUCCUGACCAUUUGUGACUUUUGUACACUUUGAUCUAGCUUUUUUAUCUUUCUUCCUACAUUAUACAAUACUAUUUUUUUUUAAUCUCUUUGUUGUCUUUUUCCAGAGACCUCAAUAUCCAGAUUGGCCUUCUUCAAGUUGCUUGAAAAUCCGCCGGCUCCUUUCUGACAGCAGAUGGACAGAACUGCUCACAGCAUUCCAAAGACCAAAAGUAACUGCAAGAAAAGAAACGUCUGAUGUAUGAGAAAAUAUGAAAGGGAAGAAACUGAAAAAAUCCGUUCUCCUAUAAAGCACGCUUCUGUGAUGGGAUAUUCGGCUUUGAAUGGGGCGAUACCGAGCUGAGGCACACGGCACAGCAGCUGAGGAGGGCACCAGACGCUGCUCAGGAGGCAGGGGAUGAAACCACAGGCAGCGAGGGCCGGCAGUCUGGGAGCGCAGAGGAGAGAGUUGUUGGUGCCCAGUGCUGUCCCGCACUGAAGGCUGGCUGGGUGCUGGGCCGGGGUCCGUGCUGGUUUCCCUGGGUCAGGGCCGGUGGAGACUCCUGGCUGUCAGUGCCUGGUCUCUUGACUCUGACGUAACUAGACCAUACCCACAGAAAUGUCGGCAUUUCAACGUCAGUGCCCUCAGAUUUCUCACAAGAAGGCAAAAGCGUCUGGACAAACGAGAUGUGCAGUGUGCUUGAGCAGUUGUGCUGUAGCAUGCGAGCUCAAACGGACUGAACUGAACCUCAUUAUUUACACACAUUUCAACAAAGAAGGGGGUCUCCCCUUUCACUUCACUCACUUCAGCUCAGCAUAUGCAGGUGAAUAGAGGAACACAGACUGGCUGGUCAGAAAAUACUUCCAAACAGCAUGAGAAAGACUAAUUCACAGCCUACAGACAAUUAGACAGGAUUAACUUGCAUAAUGAUAUUACUGUUGAUUAUAAUGGGAGUAAGAACAUUUAUGUGACAGAUACAUUAUGCAAUUAUAUGGUGUAUAAUUAUAUGGUAUUACUGUAGUGUCAGUUAUAAGGAUGUAAAUCGCUUACAUAUAUUAGUCUGUGUCUUUGGAGAAAACAAAAAGAGGCUGAUACUUUUCUUCCUGCUCGAUUCCCGUAGAGAAGAUGAUACUUGACUAGUUCUCAAAAUGUCUGUGGAAACACAGGAAAAAGUGCUACGGCUUUUUACAUUUUAUCUUUAAUAUUCUGUUAUUUAAGUGUGUAAUAUUUCAUAUGCACCCAAAGUUUUAAUGAUCAUGCCUUCCACUGCACCUGUAUAAGAAAAGAAAGGAAAGGAGAUUGACAAUUUUGGCAGUGAGCAUUUUGAAGGGAAAACCACAAGCAAAUUCAGCACAGGAAAGACCCAGAAGAGGAAAAUAAGAUACAGAAGAAAAAUCUGAAUGUUUGACUGAAAAGAAACGAAUAGACUUUUAUGGAGAGGAAAGCAGACAAGCUUUGACUAUUAUCUUUAAGCAGGAGAGAGAACAAUCAAAACUGACCUUACAGCAUGUGAGCUUUGGUGAUGCAGAAGAGGUGGUGGUAUUACUGCAACACAGGAUGAGAAAAUGAAGAGCACUACUGCAGAACAGUGAAGUCAGUUUUGGCUAAGCCAAACGUGAAAAGCCGGUCAAUCAGCCAAGAUUAAAGAUCUGAGAACCUCUAAAGGACACAUGAUUAAACGGAGCGCAGAAAGGACUAGCGUGGAUAAAUGCAAUUGAAAGUUGUCAGAAAUGAGUGAUACAUAAAUCCUCGUGAACAGCUGAAGCCACUUUUGAACACGGAUUUAGGGCUGGAAGACUUAACCUCCAUGCGCUGCCCAAGGGCAAGAUUCCUUGCCACUCUCUGACUGUUCUUUUUUUCUUUCUUUGCGGGAGGGGGGGUGAAGCACUUUGUGCUGAAUUGCUGCUUUUGGAAGGUUUUACUCAUCUUAAUCAUUGAUGAUCAACUGAGCAAACUCAUAGGAUGAGUAAUAGGUUUUCUUAACUAUAAAAAUGAUGGCUAAAUAAAGGAACCGAUUAAAAUGUA